rnacentral:rRNA from 1 species
AUACGGAGGGGGUUAGCGUUGUUCGGAAUUACUGGGCGUAAAGCGUGCGUAGGCGGACUAUUAAGUCAGAGGUGAAAUCCCGGGGCUCAACCCCGGAACUGCCUUUGAUACUGGUAGUCUUGAGGUCGAGAGAGGUGAGUGGAAUUCCUAGUGUAGAGGUGAAAUUCGUAGAUAUUAGGAGGAACACCAGUGGCGAAGGCGGCUCACUGGCUCGAUUCUGACGCUGAGGUACGAAAGUGUGGGGAGCAAACAGGAUUAGAAACCCGAGUAGUCC